GGAUUCAGCGGCGGACGGGUGAGUAAUGCCUAGGAAUCUGCCUGGUAGUGGGGGACAACGUUUCGAAAGGAACGCUAAUACCGCAUACGUCCUACGGGAGAAAGCAGGGGACCUUCGGGCCUUGCGCUAUCAGAUGAGCCUAGGUCGGAUUAGCUAGUUGGUGAGGUAAUGGCUCACCAAGGCGACGAUCCGUAACUGGUCUGAGAGGAUGAUCAGUCACACUGGAACUGAGACACGGUCCAGACUCCUACGGGAGGCAGCAGUGGGGAAUAUUGGACAAUGGGCGAAAGCCUGAUCCAGCCAUGCCGCGUGUGUGAAGAAGGUCUUCGGAUUGUAAAGCACUUUAAGUUGGGAGGAAGGGCAGUAAGUUAAUACCUUGCUGUUUUGACGUUACCGACAGAAUAAGCACCGGCUAACUCUGUGCCAGCAGCCGCGGUAAUACAGAGGGUGCAAGCGUUAAUCGGAAUUACUGGGCGUAAAGCGCGCGUAGGUGGUUUGUUAAGUUGGAUGUGAAAGCCCCGGGCUCAACCUGGGAACUGCAUUCAAAACUGACAAGCUAGAGUAUGGUAGAGGGUGGUGGAAUUUCCUGUGUAGCGGUGAAAUGCGUAGAUAUAGGAAGGAACACCAGUGGCGAAGGCGACCACCUGGA
rnacentral:rRNA from 1 species